rnacentral:rRNA from 1 species
GGUUCUAUUUUGUUGGUUUCUAGGACCGCCGUAAUGAUUAAUAGGGAUAGUCGGGGGCGUCAGUAUUCAGCUGUCAGAGGUGAAAUUCUUGGAUUUGCUGAAGACUAACUACUGCGAAAGCAUUCGCCAAGGAUGUUUUCAUUAAUCAGGGAACGAAAGUUAGGGGAUCGAAGACGAUCAGAUACCGUCGUAGUCUUAACCAUAAACUAUGCCGACUAGGGAUC